UUUUUUGUUUUAGGGAUUCAUCAGUUUAUGUGGCGAGUGCAAAGCAAAAAGCAAUGGCUUGGAGGAGGUUCCCGACAUUGCUUCGUCAGAGAACUGAUGAUAUCAACGAUGGAGGAAGAUAGUCUCGUUGGGAGUUGGAGGUUGUAUUGGGUGUCUGUUUUGCGAUUGGUUUUAUGAGAUACAUGGAAUGUAGCCAUCCAAAGAAAUAAGGUUUUAUGUGAUACAUGGAAUGCAGCCAUCCAAAGAAAGAAGGGAAGUGAAGAGACAGGAGCAGUGGAGCACAUUGCUUAAAAGAAUAGGCUGGCGGUAGGAGGACUGAGAAGUGAUACUAUUGCUUAAUUAUUAACUAAUUUGUAGGAUUUUUGUUAUACUUUUCACUAUUAAGAAUGUGAAAUCAGUCUGUUUAUAUGCAUGACUUAAUUAAAUACUAAUUUACACUAAAUUUCAGAUGAUAAUUAGAAAGCCUUUUCGAAUUAUGGACCUUAAUUAGAUGAAUGCAACAGUUGCCAUUUUUACUUUAGCCUUGUGUUAGAUCACGAUGGAGCC